rnacentral:rRNA from 1 species
AUUGAACGCUGGCGGCAGGCUUAACACAUGCAAGUCGAGCGGAGAUGAGGUGCUUGCACCUUAUCUUAGCGGCGGACGGGUGAGUAAUGCUUAGGAAUCUGCCUAUUAGUGGGGGACAACAUUCCGAAAGGAAUGCUAAUACCGCAUACGUCCUACGGGAGAAAGCAGGGGAUCUUCGGACCUUGCGCUAAUAGAUGAGCCUAAGUCGGAUUAGCUAGUUGGUGGGGUAAAGGCCUACCAAGGCGACGAUCUGUAGCGGGUCUGAGAGGAUGAUCCGCCACACCGGGACUGAGACACGGCCCAGACUCCUACGGGAGGCAGCAGUGGGGAAUAUUGGACAAUGGGGGGUAACCCUGAUCCAGCCAUGCCGCGUGUGUGAAGAAGGCCUUAUGGUUGUAAAGCACUUUAAGCGAGGAGGAGGCUACUGAGACUAAUACUCUUGGAUAGUGGACGUUACUCGCAGAAUAAGCACCGGCUAACUCUGUGCCAGCCGCCGCAGUAACAC